GUUUGGUACUGAUGAUAUUCAUUCAGAGGCUACCGUCAAGUCAAGAACCAAACUACGCGACCGAGAAAAAGAAAACCCAAUCCAUCGCGAUUCAUAUUCUUUUUCACACUAAAUUCAUCACAAUUCCCAAAUUCAACUAUUUCGUAAACCCUAACGUCUAAUAUCAUGAACCCUUACGACAAUCGUUACUCCGAUUCCACUUCUUUUCGCGGCCGCCGCAGUGAUCUUGUUGGACCUAUGCCGCCGCCUAAUUUCGGCCGCGGCGGUCCUGCUCCGUACACUGCUCCUUAUGCACCACACGCACCUACCGGUUUCGGAUCCGCAUCUGUUACUCCGGUUCCUCACUUUUUGCCUCCUCCUGGUGGAGGUGGAUUUAGCAUAGGUCGUGGUGGUGGUGGUGGUGGUGGUGGUUUUGGUCCUAGAAUGGCCAACGGUGAUAGAAAGUAUGACACAGGUCGUUUUGGUGGUAGUAGUGGUGGGAGAGGUCGUGGUGGCGGUGGUGGUAGAGGUGGAAGUCAAGGUUUUAGAGGCUCUGGUAGAGGAGGUAGUGGAGGGAGAGGUGGUGGGUUUGGAGGUAAACAUGGAUCUUCUAAGGAUGAUUUGAAUAACAUUAAUCUUCCAAAGCAAGAUUUUAGGAAUUUGGUACCUUUUCAGAAGAAUUUCUAUAUUGAAAGUCCUCAGAUACAAGCUAUGUCUGAUAUUCAAGUUAUGCAGUACCGAGCUAGUAGGGAUAUCACUGUUGAAGGGCAUGAUGUGCCGAAGCCAAUUCUGUCUUUUCAUGAGGCUAAUUUUCCUGAUUACUGUCUUGAUGUCAUUGCCAAGUUGGGUUUUGUUGAGCCCACUCCAAUUCAGGCUCAGGGUUGGCCCAUGGCUCUUACCGGUAGAGAUUUAAUUGGCAUUGCCGAGACUGGCUCUGGUAAAACUUUGUCGUAUCUACUUCCUGCUUUAGUUCAUGUCAGUGCACAACCUCGUUUGGCACAAGGGGAAGGUCCCAUUGUCUUGGUUUUAGCACCGACUAGAGAGUUAGCUGUUCAAAUUCAACAAGAAGCUAUGAAAUUCGGGGGACGAUCAAAUAUUAGAUGUACAUGCAUAUACGGCGGUGCUCCAAAGGGCCCUCAAAUCCGUGACCUUAGAAUGGGUGUUGAGAUUGUUAUUGCUACUCCUGGACGUCUAAUAGAUAUGUUGGAAGCUCAGUAUACAAACCUGCAGAGAGUGACAUACCUUGUCUUGGAUGAAGCUGAUCGAAUGUUGGAUAUGGGUUUUGAACCUCAGAUUCGGAAGAUUGUAAACCAGAUUCGACCAGAUAGGCAGACAUUAUACUGGAGUGCAACGUGGCCAAAGGAGGUUGAAACUCUGGCAAGACAGUUUCUGCAGAACCCAUAUAAGGUAGUUAUUGGAUCACCAUAUCUAAAAGCAAAUCAAUCUAUAAAUCAAGUUGUUGAAGUUGUCAGUGACAUGGAGAAAUAUAACAGAUUGAUCAAGCUGCUGAAAGAAGUGAUGGAUGGGAGCCGAGUUCUAAUAUUUACUGAAACAAAAAAGGGAUGUGACCAAAUUACAAAACAAUUGAGAAUGGAUGGAUGGCCAGCAUUAUCCAUCCAUGGUGAUAAAAACCAGGCUGAAAGGGACUGGGUUUUGGCUGAAUUUAAGAGUGGCAGAAGUCCAAUAAUGACUGCCACUGAUGUUGCUGCACGGGGUCUUGGUAGGAUCACUGUGUGUUUAGAAUCAUAGGAUUUUUGGUAUAGGUCUAAAAUGUAACCAUAGACGAGUUGGCCGGCUGCUUUCCAGUUCCCCUUGACAACAAUUUGUGGUUUUGGUGUGUGUGGGUGGGGGUCAUAUUUUGAGUUUGUUGGAAGUGCCUGUAACUUGACCAGGGGAUUAUAGAGAUGGAAUUGUUUCGCAGCUUUCAGUAGACUGCUUGAUGGAGUUGAUUUGGGAACUAUCCUUUUAAAGAUGUCAAGUUAUAUGGAUACCUAGGCCCUAGGUCAGAGUUCCUUUGAUAUGGCUGGGAUAUUGAUGAAUAAUUUCUGAUGUAGUAUGCCAUGUAUGAUCCUGUAUUUCACGGGGCAGGUUAAUGUUUGGUGACUUACUUGAUUGACAAAACAAGGUGAGUUUAUCAAUAAUUUGCCAGUGUUGCCUGAAGUCAUGUCAUACUACUAUACUAGUCAUACCACUGUUGUCACUUUUCUUAAAAUUAGUCAAAUUGAUUGAUCCCCAUCCACAGUUAUGGAGCUGGUUAUCGUUGCAGCCCGGUUGACUCACAUGCUUUUUUGAUAAUUUGAUUGGAUGUGAUAGAUGACAUUGAUGGUGAAGCUGCUCUUUAUCCCUGAAAGGUUCAGAUGUGAAGGACAUAAAAUGCGUGGUCAAUUAUGAUUUUCCAUCAAGCCUUGAAGAUUAUGUCCACAGAAUUGGUCGAACUGGGCGUGCAGGGGCUAAAGGAACUGCAUACAGUUUCUUUACCCGUGCUAAUGCCAAGUAUG